CUGUGACUCCUGGUGGAUGGGACUGGGGAGUCAGAGUCAAGCCCUGACUGGUUGCAGGCGCUCGGAGUCAGCAUGGAAAGUCUCUGCGGGGUCCUGGGAUUUCUGCUGCUGGCUGCAGGACUGCCUCUCCAGGCUGCCAAGCGUGAGUCCCGUCCUCUCUGGGCGCUUACACUCGUUGACCCAAAUGAUGGGCCAGGCCCUUUGACUGGAGUUUGGGGGUCCGCAGACAGGGUCUGUUCCAAAUGCUGGGAGUGUGUUCUUUGCUUAGGACUCACGGAGAGCAAAAGCCACGAGGCCCCUGGAAGCUUUUUCCACUCUGGCCAGAUUGAGGCUGGAAGGGGAGGACAGCCUGUACCCCAGAAUAAAGCAAGUCUCCCAAAUCACCCUUAUCUGCUUCCUGCUCACAGGGCGGAGCUCUUAAAUGAGGCUCUGGCUAACUUUGCGGAACUCCCCCAUCCCACCGCAUCCUCUGCUCGCUGCAGGGCCAACUGCUGCUUCAGUGCAGAUACUGAGGACUCUAUGCAGAUACUGAGGGGCUCCACCCUGGGCGGAUUCUAUGGCAGGGGCCCUACUAACAAAGCUUCCUAGUGAGUGGCAGAGGCAUCUUUCAGUGUUGGACAUACUGGUCUAGCAUCCUUGUCCUGACCAGGGUGUAGCUGUCCUGUUCUUAGCGGAGCUAGUGAGCAGGGGAAAGAGAAGGCCCCUCACUUCCAGGGGCCGGAGACCAGCCCGGUCCAGAACCUUGCCUUACCCCGAAUGUGGCCGCCUGGCUGGUUGCCAGGCAGUUCCAAAGGAGAGGAGUAUCUCGUCACCCCCUGCCUUCUCUUGUGCAAGGCAGGUCCUCGGGUAGGUUGUCCUGGCUGGGGUGGAUCCCAGGCCAGGCAGAGUGGAACCGCUGUGGUCCCUGCACCCAAGAAUUGCCAGGCAAAAGGGCAAGCAGCCCAGCCCCAUCACAGCCGCGCCCCGAACCAGGGAUCCUCAAAGCCAGUGAUGCCCCAGACUUGGGGCGUCCUGCCUGAGACUCCACCUCUGAGUUUGGAUUUUAAACCCAGAGAUGGCAGGCAGCGGGUUGACAAACGGAACGGCCCAUCUUGUGUCUAGGUGUGGUGCCUUCACAGAGAGAGGGGACUCUGACCUUGGAAUUAUCCAGUUUCCCCAGAUGAGAAACCGGGCCACAGGCCACAGAGAGGGCCAGGAAUUCGCUCAGGUCACACAGAGAGCAGGCAGUAGGGAAGCAUGCCACCUCUCCCUGGCAGUUCUUCCUGCCAGGGUUUGGGAUAGGACAGACUUGAAUAUGUGCCAACUGCUAGGCUGGGCCAUGAGUGAGUUAGCUUCAAUAAAUUUCCUUUUCCUCGUUUACAAAAGUGGGCUAUAGAGUCUUGGGAGAUCAGCUAGCAAGGGCACGUGGCCAGAACACACAUUCAAUGGCAUUUUUAAGGACAGAGCUACACACCUCUGUUCCCCCUAUCCCACCCUACCCCACUCCAUACCUCCUGCCAACAAGUUAUAAUAACCUAGAGGAAUAAGAAUAGGAAAAGCCAGCAAAGACCUUUCACCCACAGUUUGAGGGUCGGUAAAACAGUAGCCAAAGCCAGGAUAAAUGGUUCAUGUCUUUAAUCCCAACACUCAGGAAGCAGAGGUAGGUAGAUCUCUGUGAGUCUGGGGUCAUCCUAGUCUACAUAGUGAGUUCUAGGACAGUUUGAGCUACAUAGUGAGACCCUGACUUG
rnacentral:lncRNA from 1 species